AACGAACGCUGGCGGCGUGCCUCAUACAUGCAAGUCGUACGCGAAUCCUGCCGCAAGGCAGGGUUUGAGUGGCAAACGGGUGCGUAACACGUAGGUAAUCUUCCUUUGAGUUGGGGAUAAACCCUCGAAAGGGGUCUAAUACCGAAUAACACUUCUGGUUGGCAUCAACCGGAAAUUAAAGAUGGCCUCUGCUUGCAAGCUAUCGCUCGGAGAUGAGCCUGCGGCCGAUUAGUUAGUUGGCGGGAUAAAGCCCACCAAGACUUCGAUCGGUAGCCGGUCUGAGAGGAUGUCCGGCCACACUGGGACUGAGAUACGGCCCAGACUCCUACGGGAGGCAGCAGUCGAGAGGCUUCGGCAAGUGGGGAAACCCUGACCGAGCGACGCCGCGUGGAGGAUGAAGGCCCUUGGGUUGUAAACUCCUGUCAUGUGGGAANAACCUCACGGUUCGAAUAGGGCCGUGACUUGACGGUACCACAAGAGGAAGCUCCGGCUAACCUCGUGCCAGCCG
rnacentral:rRNA from 1 species